ACGCUCGACACCUACGGGAGGCAGCAGUGGGGAAUAUUGCACAAUGGGGGGAAACCCUGAUGCAGCGACGCCGCGUGAGCGAAGAAGUAUCUCGGUAUGUAAAGCUCUAUCAGCAGGGAAGAAGAUGACGGUACCUGACUAAGAAGCACCGGCUAAAUACGUGCCGGCAGCCGCGGUAAUCUGAGCGGGCGUGGCAAGGC
rnacentral:rRNA from 1 species